GCCCCUGAGUGACUGGAAGGGCUGGAGCCAGGACCCACCCCCUCCCAGACCUCAUUUAAGAGUUGGCAGUGGAGGUAGGGGCAUCUCAUCUGGGGACCCCUGUGUAUGAGAGGGUGUUAUGGGCAUUCUGAAGGAACCUUGGCUAAAUGAAUUAAAAGCGGACCUCUGUUCAUCUCUCAUGUACUGAUUGCUCCCUCACACAACCUUUUUAAUGUUAUGCUCUGUGAUGCCACCACUGAUUACACUGAAGAUAUUCUGAAUGCUGUCAGCGGAGAGAGAGAUGGAAUGCGCCUGAAUAUUUGAAUAACCAUGAGAAACAACAGCAUUUGGAGGAAGGAACGGGCACCGUACAUGUGACUUAUCUGACAUGGAAUUACGUAGAUUUUUAAAAUAGGGCCCAAAAGGCCAAAUGAGGUUGUGCCUUGAGUGCUGCCGUCAGCAGGGUGGAAAGGAAAGGAAACCCUAACUCUCAGUGUGAUGGAUAAGUAUUGUUUCCACAGAAACUUCCUCCCCCAGUUGGCACGUGGGCCUUGCUCUGGUGGGAGCUGGGGUCGGGGGUCGUGCCAUUGUCUGCUGAAAUGAUCCGAUUGCUUGUUGUGUGGAAAUAUAAAUCUUGGGCCUUUGAUCGUGUGAACCGUAAAGGAGGGAAACGCUUCUUUGUUUUUAUUUAAAAAAAAGGAAAGUCAGAGCUGUGGCCAGCACAGUGCUGAAGGCGGGCAGGCUUCAGCCAAGGCGCUGCUGUGGGGAUCGUGGGGUGGUGGCAGCCCGGGAGGGAACCCUGUGGGGCGAGGAACCCUCUGGCCGGGAGCAGGUGGCUGCAAGGCCCAGCAGGAGCAGGGGAGUGCAGCUGGAUGCACACCAGGGUCUGGUACGUGGAGGAGCUCCCAGCACCUCCAAGCUGGCAUUUCACCUGCCCCAAACUCCGGUUGUUUCUACGGACCAGAUUUGGUGUGAUUUUUAGUAGGUUUGUUUGUUCCGCCCUCGCCAAGCGAUGGGUGAGGUGUGUGGCAGCCAGCUGCCAGGCUCAGCAGCAGCCCAGCCACUGCUUCAUCACAGGUUGGUUAGCUGGCAGCCCGAGGCAAACCUGCAAUCAUUAACAGCCCAUUUGCUGGGCUAAUGACUCUUUUUCACUAGAUGUAUAAUUUAAUAUAUGGUAACUUUCAUGCUUAAUUACGCUCUUCAAAGCUUCUUUUGAAGGAAUUUAUUUUUCUGCAUGCAUUUAUUAAAAAGUGUUGGGAGCUGGCUGGCUUGCUUCCCUGCUAUUCUGCAUUAAAACCAGAUCAUUUAUUUAAGAAGAUUUUAAUUGAGAUAUGGGUAUUUCCUCCUCUGCAGCUUUAUAGAAUCAUAGAAUGGCCUGCAUUGAAAAGGACGAUGAGUGCUUGAAGAAAUAAAUAACAAUGAAUUACCAAGAUGUUUCAAACUUGCAUUCUGUGCCCUACCGCAGCUUGCCCCGUUGUCCUGGACGAGGCGCAGGCCUGAACCCUUCCAGCACAAUGCAAGGCUUGAGCUCGGCAGCCUGGCUGCAUUCCAGCCCGGUUCACGUCUGACUCAGCAGUGAGUGCCCCUGCCGUGCUCGGGAACCUCAGUGGGAGCACAGUCGGGCUCCUGUAAGUGCUGUUAAUCCCACAUGCCAUCGGCAUGCGGCUCUUGUAAGGCUUGCUGGGAUCAGUUCGGAUGAAAGAGGCUACGCGUGUAAGAUGUUUUUCAUCUGCAUCCCAGAUCUGUACUACAUCAACGCAGAAGUAUGACUUUGUCAAUCAGAUGCUUUUUUUGAGCUAGGCAGCUGAUUGAGAGGAUAGUCAUGAAUUUGGUUUUCUUUCUGUGAGCUCUACUGUCCCCUUCAUGGAGAUUAAACAUUUCCCAGUACUGUUUUCAGCUCCACAGAGCAAGUAAAAGAUAAUCUCCUGCUUGGAUAUCCUCACACUAUUGCGAUCCACUAAUAGGAUCACCAUACAGUUUUGACUUAACAGGCACUGGGAGAGGAUAAUCCUGUUUACUCGGUCAUCCAAAACACUGAUGAUCUGAGAUAAUCGGUGGCUGAGAGCAUGAGGAGGGAUGUGCGAGGUGCUCUGUGCCCGGAUGGGUGAGUCAGAAGCUCUGCCCUGGGGAACGGACUGAGCUCACCACUGCAGCCCCAACAGGGCAGGGGGAGAGCCCCAACCAUCCUCACAAAGACAGAAACUGGAGAAGCCAACCAGGUAAAAUAACAGCGUUUCCUAGAGUCUUUUCCAGAUGUUGUGCUUGUAACAUGAACUCUUACGGCUGACACGUGAGCUGUGGAUUAACAUCAGAUAGUGCUGUUGACUUGUCAGCCUUGCUCUGUGGCCUGGGAGCUGUCCCUGCCCAGAUAACGGGUUUGUGGUUAAUGGUUCAAUAAGCCAGCAGCAGCGCAUUGCCCACCAGCCCCUAUGCACCGUAGCUAGAUGCCGAGCCCAACUCUUCACCACGGCUACGCAUGUUAGUAUUGAACACAUGCACAAUGAUUCAUCGGCCCCAAUGCAAUGCUUACUUCAAAUAGUAUUUUACUAGGUGCUGGCUAUAUUUAACUUUCCAAACUUGAGUGGACGUAGAGAUGUGAUCCAGAUGACAGAAUGCUGUUAUGUCCUUACAUUUAAAAACCAAAACGUGCUUUUCUCUCCCUGCUGGCAGGUGUUCGGGGCCCUGCGGGUGGGAUUUUCACGUGUGGCUGUUCGAUGAGCUCUGAAAGGCAGAGACGGCAUGAGACACCCGGGACGAGCAAGGCUGCUGGCACUCGCUCGACAGUUGAGGCCGUUCUGCUCGGUGACUGCAGUUCUGCAAUCAGCCUGCAGGGGGCAGCAGAGCGGCACAGGGCUGCUUUCCUCCCGGAGCCCCUCGGGGCUGGCAGCGCCUAGGAGCGGAUCUGCAGACCCAAGGUGGGGGGGAGUGCAUGUACCCACCGAGCUGAGGGCGUCACGCCGUCCUGGGGAGUGCCCGCAGCCGGAGCUGUCCCCCUGGCCACGUCCUAGCAGGGCGAGAUCUCAUGUGACAGCCACCACCUCGGACAGCAGCGGAAUGGGACCAUGGAGGAGACUGGUGGGUGUGUGGCUUCACAAGCAGGAGCUGUAAACAAGCAAACAGCACCAGCUCCUUGCAGCUCCCAGCCCUUCUUCUGCAGCACGGUGAGAUCCAGCAGCACUGCUGUUGUCCUGUGGCCCGGAGCAGUGCCCACCCAGAGUAAGCACGAGGCAGGAGCUGAAAGCCCGACCUGCAGCUCACGUCUUGCUCGGCCCGAUGACAUCUGUAGCAGGAAAAAUCAAGAGUAUGACAUCAAUGGAGCUGAACCGUUUGCCGAGGGAUCUCCUGUUACCUCUGCAGCCGUUCCUGGAAGGUGGUGAGAAAUAACAGCCAACCCAUGCCCCACUUUUUGGUGUGCAUGCAGCACCCACCUGCUUUCUGCUGCCGUGGGCUCCAGGUUUACUUAACGCGCUCACAUGUAAGAAGCAAACGUAAACACGAGCAGCUGAUGUUACUCAAGAAAACAAAUGGAUGGCUGCAUCUGUGCUCUCCCCAGUGUUUAUCCAGAGGGAGAGAUUAAACGGGAACCACUCAGGCGAGCUUAGUCCGAUUUUAAAAGAUCUUUUGAGUGUUGAACAUGUAAUAAGAUGCUCAAUGCUGUUUUUGAGGCAAGAUGCUCCUCGCUGAUUUACAAAGGCCAUGCUCUCUGGCUUUGCAUGCCUAAAAGCUCCUCAAAAUCUGCUGCUGGGACUCUGGGGCUCGUCAUGUCAAUGGGAACGAAUGCUGCCCAGCCAGCUCUGAGCGCACGGCUGGAGCUCGCCUUUCCCCUCGCUGCUCUGGAUUAGUUCUCCUUCGGCUUCUUUCUCGCGUUGCUGAUGGAAGCUGGGUGGAGUGGCUCUUACAGAAAGAUGCAGAACACCCUUCUGUAAGCAACCAACGCUAACGGAGCUCACAGGGGACUUCUACCUCUGUCUCUUUUCUGUGACAAUUACAUGUCGUCGAAUUACAUAGAUGGAUUUUAACAUCUAAACAAAUAAAUAAACGAUAUAUGCACGUUUAA